rnacentral:rRNA from 1 species
AUGGCGUCUUCGCCGCCGGCAAUCAUCGGGACGGAGCCCACCUGGGUGCCCUACGAGCCGACCAGGGACUGCUCGCAGGGGCUGUGCAGCAUGUACUGCCCCCAGUGGUGCUACUUCAUCUUCCCGCCGCCGCCGCCCUUCGACCUCGCCGGCCCCGGCCCGGACGACUCCUCCGGCCACGUCUUCUCCCCGCUCGUCAUCGCCAUCAUCGGCGUGCUCGCCACCGCCUUCCUCCUCGUCAGCUACUACACCUUCAUCUCCAAGUACUGCGGCACCUUCGGCUCCCUCCGGAGGAGGCUCUUCGGCCCCGGCCCCGGCUCCGGCGGCGGUGGGGGCAGCGGCGGUCCUGGGAGCGGCCACGGGCAGUCCAGGAGCCAGGAGUCGUGGAACGUGUCGCCGGCGAGCGGGCUGGACGAGGCCCUCAUCAACAAGAUCACGGUGUGCAAGUACAGGCGCGGCGACGGGCCCGCCCUCCACACCACCGACUGCUCGGUCUGCCUCGGCGAGUUCCACGACGGGGAGAGCCUCCGGCUGCUCCCGAAAUGCAGCCACGCGUUCCACCAGCAGUGCAUCGACACCUGGCUCAAGUCGCACUCCAAUUGCCCCCUCUGCCGCUCCAACAUCACCUUCGUCGCCGUCGAGGUGGCGCCGCCGGAGCCGGAGGGCUGUGCUCCAGGCGCAGGCGAGGCCGACCGGAGCACCCAUCAGGUGGUCGUUGAGAUGGAUGCGUUGGAGAGCAUGUGUGAGGAGCAGCAGGAAGCGGUGAGCAGUGGCGGCGUCAGAGCUGAGCGUGGUGAUCAGGAGACGGAGGGCAGCCGAGAGGGAGCAGAGGAGGAGGAUGAUGCCAAUGGCACGGCUGAGAUCAGAGAAGAAGGCGUGCCAGCACCGAAGACGGGGCCCAACCUCCACCGUGACAGCCGCAUGUCCAUCGCCGACGUGCUGCAGUCCACCAUGGAGGACGAGCUGAUCGCAGCCAGGGAGAGUGGGCUCCUUGCAGGCGGCGCCGGCACGUCGCGCCGGUGCCGCGGGGAGAACAGCAGCAGCGGACGUGGCCGCACCCGGCGCGCGUUGCAGGACGACUCCGUGCCGCCGAUGAAGAGGCUGCCGCCCGGCGGCAGGUCGUGCUUCAGCAGCAAGAGCGGCCGGGCAGUCGUCGUCGAUUCAGACCAUCCACUGCGGGGUGGCCAGUCGUGA